rnacentral:tRNA from 1 species
GGGCCUGUAGCUUAGCCUGGAAGAGCACAAGACUCUUAAUGGUUUUAUCGAAGAAGCCAACAGCAAUCUUGGGGUCGAGGGUUCAAAUCCCUCCGGGCUCA